rnacentral:rRNA from 1 species
UUGUAAUUGAGCGGUCCGGGUGCGUCAGUGCAGGUAAGUGCCAUGGAAAUGGUCGCCGUGGAGGGUGAGAGCCCCGUCCAGCCUGCACAGGGCGUUGCUGUACGAGACUGUCUCGGGAGAGUCGGGUAGCUUGGGAAUGCUGCUCUAAGCGGUGGUAAAUUUCAUCGAAGGCUAAAUACUGCUGGAAGACCGAUAGCGAACAAGUACCGUGAGGGAAAGAUGAAAAGCACUUUGAAAAGAGGGUGAAAAGAAUCUGAAACCGUUAUGAGGGAAGCGGAUUGCGUUGAAUUGACGGGUGCCGGUGUGUUCAGCUUGCUUCGGCGGGUGUAGUGACAUUGGAUGCUUAUUUGCUGUGAAUUUCUGGUCGCUGAUUGUGGGCAGCUGGAGGUUGAGGGCUCCAUGAAUUUUUGUGUGAGGACAGCAGAGUGACGACGCGAUACGACCCGUCUUGAAACACGGACCAAGGAGUCUAGCACGGCUGCGAGUCUGAGGGUGCAAGCUCGAGGGCGCAGUGAAAGCAAUGCAGAAUGUGUCAGUUUAGGG